rnacentral:lncRNA from 1 species
CUUGGUUUUUUAAGUCUUCAAUUUAUCUUAUCAUUCUAUACUUCGUCCUCGAUUACCAGUUAUACUUUCUUCAAUUAUUGUUCUUUACAGGGGUGUGGGGGUAGGACAGGGAUCAAGUUCCUAUAACUAGUAAAUUCAUUUACGUGAAUUUUGAGUAUAAUUCUCUAUUUGAGUAUGAUGAGUUUUAUACCUUAUUGCUUAAAUUUCUUUUCAGCUGGUGGCUGGUUUUUUGGCAUUUCUUUUGCCUAUAGAUGAUAUGGAAAGCACACCGACCAAGGGCUCGACAUAACCUUAAGUCUUUUUUGAGUUUCCCUUAUAUUUUUUUUUAUGGUAUUACAAAAGGAUUGAACUAUGAUUUGUUUAUCUGCAGUGGUGUUUGGAUUAGUUGGGUAAUGUCACAUAUUCAACUUAUAAAGUUUCUGUAAUUAGUAAAUUCAUUUAGGUGAAUUCUGAGUACAAUUUUCUAUUUGAAGAUGACGAAUUUUAAACCUUUUGCAUAAAUUUCUUUGCACCUUUUCAGUUGGUGGCUGGUUCUCUGGCAUUUCUUUUGCCUAUGGAUGAUAUGAAAAGCACAAUAACCAAGGGGCUCGUCAUAACCUAAGUCUUUUUUGAGUUUUCCUUCUUUUUUUCUUUUUUCCUGGUAUUGUUCACAGUACAUAAGGAUUAAACUAUGGUUUGUUUAUUUGCAGUGGUGUUUGGAUUAGAUGGGUAACAACGCAUAUUCAUCGUAUCAAGUUUCUAUAACUAGUAAAUUCAUUUACGUCAAUUUUGACUAUAAUUUUCUAUUUGAGUAUGACGAGGAAAAUUACUUCAAUUUCUUUUCAUUUGACCAAGGGCUCAACAUAACCUUAAAUCUUUUUUGAGUUUCCCUUAUAUUUUUUUUAUGGUAUUACAUAAGGAUUGAACUAUGAUUUGUUUAUCUGCAGUGGUGUUUAGAUUAGUUGGGUAACGUGCAGAUUCAUUUUAUCAAGUUUCUAUAACUAGUAAAUUCAUUUACGUGAAUUUUGAGUAUAAUUAUCUAUUUGAGUAUGAUGAGUUUUAAACCUGUUGCGUAAAUUUCUUUUCAGCUGGUAGCUGGUUUUUUGGCAUUUCUGUUGCUUAUGGAUGAUAUGAAAAGCACAACAACCAAGGGCUAGACAUAACCUUAAGUCUUUUUUGAGUUUCCCUUCUAUUAUUUUUUUAUGGUUCUACAUAAGGAUUGAACUAUGAUUUGUUUAUCUGCAGUGGUGUUUUGGAUUAGUUGGGUAAAUUUCUUUGCUCCUUUUCAGCUGGAGUUCUCUGGCAUUUCUUUCUCCUAUGGAUGAUAUGAAAAGCAGAAGGACCAAGGGCCUCGACAUAACCUAUUUUUCUGCUACGGACUAUGAUUUGUUUAUCUGCAGUGGUGUAACACGUUUCUAUACUUCUUCCUUUUAUUAAGAGCUUAGUUCGUUUUCUUGAUUUUUUUGCUGUAUAGGUAGUUCGUUUUCUUGAAUUUUUGGGCUAUACAGGGAAGGCACGGAAUGGAUGUGAAAUGAAGUAUUAUGUUUUGUUACCUUUAAGUCUUUUUUGAGUUUCCCUUCUAUUAUUUUUUUAUGGUUUUACAUAAGGAUUGAACUAUGAUUUGUUUAUCUGCAGUGGUGUUUUGGAUUAGUUGGGUAACGUUGCAUAUUCUUCUUAUCAAGUUUCUAUAAUUAGUAAAUUCAUUUAGGUCUAUAUGAGGAUGACGAGUUUUGAACCUUCUGCGUAAAUUUCUUUGCACCUUUUCAGCUGGAGUUCUCUGGCAUUUAUUUCUCCUAUGGAUGAUAUGAAAAGCAGAAGGAUCAAGGGGCUCGACAUAACCUAAGUCUUUUUUGAGUUUUAUUUCUUCUUUUUUUUCCUGGUAUUUAUGACAGUACAUAAGGAUUGAACUAUGAUUUGUUUAUCUGCAGUGGUGUUUGGAUUAGUUGGAUAACGACGCAUAUUCAUCUUACAAGUUUCUAUAACUAGUAAAUUCAUUUACGUGAAUUUUGAGUAUAAUUCUCUAUUUGAGUGUGACGAGUUUUAAACCUUUUGCCUAUCUGGUAUUGAUCACGAAAAUAAGGAUUGGACUAUGAUUUGUUUAUCUGCAGUGGUGUAACACGUCUCUAUACUUCUUCCUUUUAUUAAGAGCUUAGUUCGUUUUCUUGAAUUUUUGGGUUGUACAGGGAAGACACACAAUGGAUGUGAAAUGAAGAUUAUGUUUUGUUACCCUUAACUUUUUUAUGGGUUUAUUCGUGACUGAUCAUUUGAUUUCGUAGUCUAACUUUGUGUUUAUGUUCACUCCCCUUCAGCAAUUGGAGUUUCUGAGAUUUGAAACCCUAAAAAGUUUAAAACGGUUGCAGCUCAGGAUAUCCCAAUUCUCUCUAUCUAUUGUUUAAUUUCUCUCUACUUGAUCUCCAAGGAUUGAAUUGUGCUCGACUAUUUUACCUUAAAGUCCUGCAGCAUCUCAUGGAGUGUGUUAUGAGGCCCUAAGGGUUGAAUUGGUGUUUGAAUUAUUUUCGCCUAAUGUCCUGCAGAGUAUGUUAUGAGAUUUAAGGGUUGAAUUGUGAUUUGUUUCCUGUUUGGAUGAUUUGCAUAGUGUCCUGCAUCCUAUGGAAUAUGUAUGGUUUUCGCACGGUCAUCGCGAGUAUGUUAUGGCCACCAUCUUCCUUGGUUAUUUAAGUCUUCAAUUUAUCUUAUCGUUCUAUAGUUCAUCCUUGAUUACCAGUUAUACUUUGUUGAAUUAUUGUUCUUCACAGGGAUGUGUGGGGGUAGGACAGGGAUGUGUGGGUAGGACUUUCCUCGUGGUUGGUUGAAAAUGAUGGAUGAGUCAUGCUUGACGGUAUGAAAAACACAAUGACAAAGGGCUCGACAUAACCUAAGUCUUUUUUGAGUUUUCCUUAUAUUUUUUCUUUUUCCUGUUAUUGAUCACAGUACAUAAGGAUAUGAUUUGUUUAUCUGCAGUGGUGUUUGGAUUGGUUACGAUGCAUAUUCAUCUUACAAGUGGUGGCUGGUUUUUUGGCAUUUCUUUUACCUAUGGAUUAUAUGAAAAGCACAACGACCAAGCAUUUCUAUUAUUUUUAUGGUAUUACAUAAGGAUUGAACUAUGAUUUGUUUAUAUGCAGUGGUGUUUGGAUUAGUUGUGUAACGUCUAUGUUCAUCGAAUCAAGUUUCUGUAAUUAGUAAAUUCAUUUAGGUGAAUUCUGAGUAUAAUUCUCUAUUUGAGGAUGACGAGUUUUAUCCUUUUGCAUAAAUUUCUUCUCACCUUUUCAGUUGGUGGCUGGUUCUCUGGCAUUUCUUUUGGCUAUGGAUGAUAUGAAAAGCACAACGACCAAGGGGCUCGACAUAACCUUCAAGUCUUUUUUGAGUUUUCCUUCUAUUUUUCUUUAUCCCGGUAUUGAUCACAAUACAUAAGGAUAUGAUUUGUUUAUCUGCAGUGGUGCUUGGAUUAGUUGGGUAACGUAGCAUAUUCAUCUUAUCAAAUUUCUAUAAUUAGUAAAUUCAUUUAGGUGAAUUCUGAGUAUAAUUCUCUAUUUGAGGAUGAAGAGUUUUGAACCUUUCGCAUAAAUUUUUUUUCACCUUUUCAGCUGGUGGCUGGUUCUCUGGCUUUUUUUUUGCCUAUGGUGAUAUGAAGAGAACAACGACCAAGGGCUCAACAUAACCUAAGUCUUUUUUUAGUUUUGCUUCUAUUAUUUAUAUUUUCUGGUAUUGAUCACCUACCACAAGGAUUGUAAUAUGUUUUUUUUUAUCUGCAGUGGUGUUUGUGUAACGUCGCAUAUUCAUCUUAUCAACUUUCUAUACUUCCUCCCUCUUAUUAGCGAUUAUCUUUUCCUUCAAUUUUUGGACUGUACAGGGUUUAUCGUUUCCUUCAGUUAAAUUCGGUUUUCGUGUUCAUUCCUUUUCAGCAAGUCCCGAGUCUGAGAUUUCUUUUGGCGGUUGAGGAACUAGAGUUUAGAAUGGUUGCACAUCAGGAUAUCCUAAUUUCUCAAUGAGUGUAUCCUCUAUUAUUUUAUUUAAUCUCAGCAGCGGUGUUUAGAUGAUUUUUGCUUAUUGUACUUCAUCUCAUGAGUGUGUUAGGAGGGCGACAGUGUCUCCCUUAAUUUUUUGAUUUAUCUAAUCAUCCGUUAUAGAUUUGUUGUAUUAUUGUUCUUUAGGGAUGUGUGGGCUUAUAGUUUUGUUGAAUUAUUGUUCUUUACAGGGAUGUGUUGGGUAGGACGUGGAAACCAUGUCGGGAUAUUUCUUGAACUGUGAAUCAUUCGUUUUUUUUCCUACUCUUACACUAGUUUUUUCUAUUGCAUUAGUUUGUAUUUGGCCAACCUUGUUGGUUCGAUUUUUAUUUUUUCUUCUUAGGCAUAACCAAAUAAAUAUUGGAGGGCUAAUGAAUGUCCUAUUUUAACAUAUGAUCACGACAAAUGGUCUCUUGGCAGCUUGAUUUUAUGAUCCGUGUCUCUAUGCACUGUGACCUUAGGCACUUUGGUGGUCUCAGGCCUAGAUAAAUUGAAAAGAAGUAUCUUGGAGUCAUUCCCUUCAUUUUAGUAGUGGUAAUUAGCAAGAGCUCAGGACUAUUUGGCUCCAAUUUUUUUAUUACAAAACUUUAUUUUGUCUUAGUUUUCUUUUUUUGACAAAUGAAUUUUCGGAAACAGUGAAUGGAGGUCCAGUGAAACUUUAGGUUUUAUUAUCUUUGCAUUCAUUAUUAUUUUCUUUGCGGUUAUUCUUUUGGCUAACCUUGUGGCUAAACAUGUAGAGUGGCAGUUCUUGUAAACAGGCACUAUAUGAGUAUGAUAGGCUUUGACAUUUGUUUUGUUGUGCCUUCGAUUAUCUUCUUCUACUUGGGUUGCAGUGACUUACUAUGAGCGGUUCCCAUGGUUUUCAAUUUUUGAAUUUACCUUAACUUUUCUUUACUCUGUCAUGUCAUGCUUUUAAGAAAAUUAGUUUUCUCAAAUCCCCAUGCUUCUGGUUGAGCUUUUACAGGAAAACUAUAGAUAUAUGGGGCAGGUUUCGGAAAUAAUUAUUGGACUUUACAGGGAAUUCAUGGGCUACCCAAAAUGAGGUGUGAAUUAUGUGAUAUGUGAAGCUCAAUGUUUUUAUUAACGGUACAUUGUAGUAUCUGAAUUAAUUUUUAACUGGCUCAACUUGUUGGUUUGAUUAUAAUCUUGGUUGUAUUUUGAUGGUGUAUGGUUCAUAAGUGGCAUUGUGAGCAUGGGACAAGUGCGGUUGGACUUUAUUUUUUGAUUUGAUAGUUUGCUUCUUGGUUUGAAAAGUUUAGGAUUUAGGGUUUAUUUGACGCCUUUUGGAUAAUCCUCUGAUAUAGGUCUUUGGCUCUUUAUUAGUUUUCCAAACCUUUGAUUCAUUAUUCUUGAUGAGUAAGCAUAUGGGUUGAGUUGUUGAGGUAUGAAUUUGUUUGAAAUUGUUUCAUGUCCCUGGAGUCUUAUUUUGACUGACAGCAAUGUCUCUUACUAUGAAUGACAGUAAUCUCUGAGCCUAUUAUGUGUAUGGAAAUUUUUGAAGUCAGUAUAAUAAUAUCUCACAACUUUGGUCACAUUUCUAUUUUACAUAUAAAUUAUUAACAAAGGGAGGAGAUAAAACAAGUUGUUAUGUAGUAGUAGAAUCUAUUUCUCUUUGAAAUUAUUGUUAAGGACCUACGAGUCAAGUUUUUAUAUUUAAUUUUUUUCCUAUACCAGUCAAUGAUAUAACUCAGCCGUGAAUCUUGAUCAUUCCUUUCUAUAUAUAUACCCAAUAUCUGUUUUGUUGGUAUUGCUUCAGUUAUUGUUGUGAUUCUUUACAAGGUUUUGUGGAAUUACAUGAUGUUUGUGUCGUGGGAUAGAAGAAUUAUUAAGAAUUAUUAGUAAACCGCUUCAUGAAAUUUGAUAUUAGUUUUUUUUUUUCCUUUUUAAAAUGCAGAGGUUUCAAUAUUCAUCAAAUUAAAUGCAUUAGUCAAAUGUUAAAUGCAAUAGUCACAUGGUUUUUAUAAUAAAAUUUAAAUAUAAUAAUAAUAUUAUAUGUAUAUAUAUAUUAUUUUUUAUUAUUGGCCUUUUUGUAAUAAAAUUUAAAUAUAAUAAUAAUAUUGUAUAUAUAUAUAUUAUUUUUUAAAUUAAAAUAAUAACUAUGUGUCUAUUUU